rnacentral:rRNA from 1 species
UACGUAGGGUGCAAGCGUUGUCCGGAAUUAUUGGGCGUAAAGAGCUCGUAGGUGGCCUGUCGCGUCGGCUGUGAAAACUCGGGGCUCAACUCCGAGCUUGCAGUCGAUACGGGCAGGCUAGAGUUCGGCAGGGGAGACUGGAAUUCCUGGUGUAGCGGUGAAAUGCGCAGAUAUCAGGAGGAACACCGGUGGCGAAGGCGGGUCUCUGGGCCGAUACUGACACUGAGGAGCGAAAGCGGGGGGAGCGAACAGG